AAGUCGUAACAAGGUCUCCGUUGGUGAACCAGCGGAGGGAUCAUUACAGGACGUCAUACUCCCGUAAUACCACUGUGAAUCUUACCUACCGUCGUUGCCUCGGCGGACGCCUCCCGGGCGGCAUGAGGGUCUUCGGAUCCCCGGCCGCCCGCUGCGGGAGGGUCCACGUCCGCCGGCGGCCCGCAUACUCUGUCUCAGCGUGUUGGCAUCUCCGAGUAUUAUACAAACGAGUCAAAACUUUCAACAACGGAUCUCUUGGUUCUG
rnacentral:misc_RNA from 1 species